AUUGAACGCUGGCGGCAGGCCUAACACAUGCAAGUCGGGCGAGUGGCGGACGGGUGAGUAAUGUAUGGGGAUCUGCCUGAUGGCGGGGGAUAACUACUGGAAACGGUAGCUAAUACCGCAUACCAUCAGAUGAACCCAUAUGGGAUUAGCUAGUAGGUAGGGUAACGGCUGACCUAGGCGACGAUCCCUAGCUGGUCUGAGAGGAUGACCAGCCACACUGGAACUGAGACACGGUCCAGACUCCUACGGGAGGCAGCAGUGGGGAAUAGUGCACAAUGGGCGCAAGCCUGAUGCAGCCAUGCCGCGUGUAUGAAGAAGGCCUUCGGGUUGUAAAGUACUUUCAGCGGGGAGGCGUUACUCGCAGAAGAAGCACCGGCUAACUCCGUGCCAGCAGCCGCGGUAAUUC
rnacentral:rRNA from 1 species